rnacentral:tRNA from 1 species
GGCAGGUUGCCCGAGCGGCCAAAGGGAGCUGACUGUAAAUCAGCCGGCAUUGCCUACGGGGGUUCGAAUCCCUCACCUGCCACCG